rnacentral:rRNA from 1 species
UACGUAGGUGGCGAGCGUUGUCCGGAUUUAUUGGGCGUAAAGCGCGCGCAGGCGGUGCGGUAAGUCCGUCGUGAAAUCUCCCGGCUCAACUGGGAGGGUGCGGUGGAGACUGCCGGACUGGAGGCACUCAGAGGCCGGUGGAAUUCCCGGUGUAGUGGUGAAAUGCGUAGAGAUCGGGAGGAACACCCGUAGCGAAGGCGGCACUCUGGGCCGGUACUGACGCUGAGGAGCGAAAGCGUGGGGAGCAAACAGG